CUCCGAGCUGGUGAUGUCAUGGCAGCUAAUGGGCUUUAAUUGCGCCUCUCCACUGGGUAACAAUCAGCUGAAAGCUCAUUAAGCACCAGCCUGCGGCUGUUGAGAGCAGUGCUGGCUCCUCACAAACCCUCUGAUUUUUCAGCAGCCUAGAUGUGCUUUGAGGUAUCCCAGCUGCUCCUGACUCAGGCUGGGAGCUCUUCCCCUUUAUUUCACUCUGCUGAAGGAGGGAAAUAAAAGAUGAUUUCCUGAUGAUCACCUGAAGGAUCCUCUUGGAGAGCAAGAGGGACAGAGGAAGGACUGCAAAGACCCAGGAACAAGUGUCUGCGGUUGUUUCUGCUGUGAGAUCCCUGGAAAAGGCCCUGGGAAGCCUCUGAGGGCUGGGACAUGCCCCUGGAGCAGCCCCCUAGACCAGAUCUAGAAUUUAUGGGCUGCAGGAUGUUUUCCUUUUCUGGAAUUCAUGCCAGGUCAACCCUUCCCUUGCCGAAGGCUGCAGGAGAGUUCUGGGAAGGGCUCAGGACACCCCACCUGAGGUUGGGCCAGCCUUUGAGGUGCUUCGGCCUGCACUUUGGGGUGCCUGCUGGGGUUUUGGAGCUCCCUGCUGGCACACAGGGAUGGAGAAACCCCUGAGCUCCUUCUCCAGCCUGGUUCCAAGGAGUUCCAGACUGUUCCCAGCCAGGGCUUUGGGAUUUGAUCCCCUCUAAGCACCUGGGCACACUGCCCCACCCUGCUGACCACAGAGGUGCAGCUGCCUUUCAAGCUGGACAAAAAUGUGCUGUUUGCCUCUCAACCAGAAAACAGAGGAGAAAAAUCCUUGGAAAUGGAGAAAACAUGGAAUUUGUGGCAAAUUAUCUGAGUCUUUAAGGUCUUUAAGGUGCUGUCCUGGCAUCAACAUCUCCCUCUUUGCUUGCCCGUCCACAGAGCUGCUCUGGGCAUCAGGAAAUGGCUACGGAGCCUCCUGCUCAAACAUCCAUCCCACGGACUGCUCUGUGCCUACGUGGCUAAUUGGAUAAGAGAGAAAUAAUUUAAUGAUCUGGAAGUGAUGAGGGACUGGAUGGCUGAUCCCAGUGGUGGCACCGUGCCGAGGAGAACUCGUCCAGCCAGUGAGAUCCCCUUGGAGCUCAACAGGGAAGCAGGGAUGGGCCUUGGGCAGGGCAGGGAGCUCCAGGGCUGGUUCUGAUCUCAUUUCAUGCCUUCAUAGCUCCUGAUUCACACAGAUCUCACUGAGGCUCUGAGCAGGAAUUUAAUUGUUCAUCCAGCUUUUCCUGGAGCUCUGGAGCCCUUCUGUGCCUGUUCCACCGAUAAAGACGGAUGAGGAAUCCCUGCACCAGGAAUAUCUUGAUUUCUUCUUGUCUGAAUUUCAACCUGAGGAUUUUGGGAAUCAAAACUCCUUAUUUGAUGGGUUAUGCUGAGGUGUGAGGGUUUGUUUGGGAGUGAAAAGGGAGCUUCUAGGUUAUAUUCCUGGGAAAUGGGCUUAGAUACCUGGAGAGGCUCUUUUUCAUCUUGUAGAUGCCUCCCUGCAACUCCGCAGGGAGCCCAAGGAUUUCUUGGCAUUCAGAGCUCACCCAGCCUGCAAAGCCACUCAUUUCUUGCUAUUCUUGUAUUUGGGAAUCUUGAAUUCCAUUGAAAUCAUAAUUUCUGUUGUGAUUUUUGAUGGAUUUUCUCACUCAAGCUGGAUUUGUGCAGAGCAAGAGGUGCCCUGAGAUGAAAUAUGGGGUUGAGCUGCAUGGGAAAAAAAUCACUGUAAAGUCCUGGAAAAGGGGAUUGAUCCCACUGGGGGUCAUGGAGAUCCAGGGACAAACCCAAAAUCCUUGGAUUGGGCUGUUGCUUGGGUCAGUAACCUCAGACAGAGCUCCCAGACCAGGUUUCCUCGUUGUCACAAAGAAGGAUUUGCUGUUAUCCACCAAAUAAGGGAAAGCAACAAUCAAUUCUCUCCAGAGCUAUAAUUAACUGUGUUCCCUGGGUUGUGCCAAAACCAGGGAGGAACAGAAAACCAAGGAAAAACAAGUCUUGAAAUGUCAUUUCUUUCAUCCACCUGUCAGAGAAGGCUUAGCUGGGAAUUCCUGAGACCUCUGUGCUUCAAAAUCCUGGGAGAUGGGGCUUCCACAGCCACCCCAGGCAAUUUCCUGUGCCCAGAAAUCUCCAUCCCUGGAUUGUUUUCUCAAAUCUCCAUUCCAGCCUCCUCUCUGCAGCAUUGUCAUGUCUUAUCCUGCCUGCCCUGCUCAUGGAGCACCUGAUCCACCCUUCCUCUUCCUGGAAAUUCUUGUGCUUCCCUCAACUUUCUUAUUUUUGGACAUCUCAGCCCAUGGUAUUUCUCACUCUCUUCUGUACUCUUGCCCAUCAACAUUAUAAUUUUUUGAGAUAUUUUUUCAGCUGACCAAGGUCAUUUGAAUCUUGUUUUGCUGCAUCCAUGGAGUUAUUUCCUGAGUGCCUGGCUGUGGUUGUCCCUGGGAUUUGGACAGGAACUUGUACCCACUUCACAACAAAACUCAGGGCAGAAAGAAAAAGGUCCUGGAGAUGCUUUGUGAAGGCUGACCUAGGACAGAGACCAGACUGAGCUAAAGAAUAAAGCAGAGAUUUGUUAAAAGGAUCUCCUCCAUGGAUCCACCUUGGGCAGCACAAGAGCCCAGCCAGGGCUGCACCCAGGAUGAACCAAAAUGGUCCCAAAAUGCACGAGCGCUGCCGGGGUCUCUCCCUGGGAUCAGCUCUGCUCCAUGUGCACAUUGCAGUUCAGUGUCCAAUUCCAGCCCCAGCCCCUGCAGUCCCAUCCUGCUUGUUUUUCUCUCUCCAGCCCACGGUGUUUGUGCUCUUGGGCUGAGAUUUGGAUCAUUUGUCCUUGGUGCCCAGCUGGAGCAGGAAUUGUUUUGUCUCCCUGCCCUGUGAAGAGAGCUUACCAAGACUAAAUGUGAAUCUCAGAACUACACACCAAAGCAGCACAGAAUCUGAAAAAUAUAAAAACUAAAACCUGAA